rnacentral:snRNA from 1 species
GUGCUUGCUUAGACAGCACAUAUACUAAAACUGGAAGGAUACAGAGAAGAUUGGCAUGGCCCCUGAACAAGGAUGACAUGCAAAUUCGUGAAGCAUUCCUUAUUUCU